rnacentral:rRNA from 1 species
CACGUAGGGCGCAAGCGUUGUCCGGAAUUAUUGGGCGUAAAGAGCUCGUAGGCGGUCUGUUGCGUCCGCUGUGAAAACCCGGGGCUUAACCCCUGGCUUGCAGUGGAUACGGACAGACUAGAGGUAGGUAGGGGAGAAUGGAAUUCCCGGUGUAGAGGUGAAAUUCGUAGAUAUCGUGAGGAACACCAGUGGCGAAGGCGGCUCUCUGGGCAGAUACUGACGCUGAGACGCGAAAGCAUGGGGAGCAAACAGG